AUACAGAGGGUGCAAGCGUUAAUCGGAAUUACUGGGCGUAAAGCGCGCGUAGGUGGUUUGUUAAGUUGGAUGUGAAAGCCCCGGGCUCAACCUGGGAACUGCAUACCAAAACUGGCAAGCUAGAGUACGGUAGAGGGUGGUGGAAUUUCCUGUGUAGCGGUAGAAAUGCGUAGAUAUAGGAAGGAACACCAGUGGCGAAGGCGACCACCUGGACUGAUACUGACACUGAGGUGCGAAAGCGUGGGGAGC
rnacentral:rRNA from 1 species